GACGUAGGAGGCGAGCGUUGUCCGGAUUCAUUGGGCGUAAAGAGCACGCAGGCGGUUUGGCAAGUCGGAUGUGAAAACCCGAAGCUCAACUUCGGGCCUGCAUCCGAAACUGCCCGACUAGAGGUAGGUAGGGGAGAUCGGAAUUCCUAGUGUAGCGGUGAAAUGCGCAGAUAUCAGGAGGAACACCGGUGGCGAAGGCGGAUCUCUGGGCCUUACCUGACGCUCAGGUGCGAAAGCUAGGGGAGCGAACAGG
rnacentral:rRNA from 1 species